rnacentral:rRNA from 1 species
GAUGAACGCUGGCGGCGUGCCUAAUACAUGCAAGUCGAGCGAACAGACCAGGAGUUUGCUCCUUUGUCGUUAGCGGCCCACGGGUGAGUAACACGUGGAUAACCUACCUAUAAGACGGGGAUCACCUCGGGAAACCGGAGCUAACACCGGAUAAUAUAUUGAUCCGCAUGGUUCAAUAGUGAAAGACGGUUUUGCUGUCACUUAUAGCUGGAUCCGCGCCGCAUUAGCUAGUUGGUAAGGUAACGGCUUACCAAGGCAACGAGGCGUAACCGACCUGAUAGGCGGAGCGGCGACAGUAGAACUGGGACACGGUCAAGACUCCUAAGAGAGGCAGCAGUAGAGCACCUUAGGCAAUGGGGGAGAACAUGGCACAAGGGCGCGACGUGAGAUAUUGCAAUGCUCGGGUCGUAAAAAUCGCUUAUUAGGGUGGAACAACUUUGGAAGUAAACGAACAGGUAUUGACGGUAACGAGUCAGGAAGCCACGGCUAACUACGUG